GCUGCCACAGUUGUCCCUUCUGUUUCUCUAAUCCGUCAAGAUGCCUGAGGGACGAUUUAGGACACCCUAGAGCAGCUGACACCAAUAGAUUCUAAACACACUGUGGCUGAUCUGAAGCUCAUGUGACUGCAGACCAAAGGGUCUGAGAUCAUGAGCAAGCUACCCAGUCACACGACAGGGAUAAGAAAAGACUUCCUUCCACAUUAAGGAAUGAUAGCACGCACAUCUGGUCCCCGAAGAAGUGAUGGUGAAGCAGGUGAUGGACAGUGUGUUGUGAUUCAUCCUGAGCAUUUUGCACGAUCAGCAACUAAAAGUAAAAAACAAAUGAAGAAAAAAAAGCCGGUGUCU